GACGUAGGAUGCAAGCGUUGUUCGGAUUUAUUGGGCGUAAAGCGAGCGUAGGUGGCUAGUUAAGUCUGGUGUUAAAGCUAGGGGCUCAACCCCUGUGUUGCACUGGAAACUGGCUGGCUUGAGGAUGGUAGGGGAAGGUGGAAUUCCGAGUGUAGCGGUGAAAUGCGUAGAUAUCGAGGAAGACACCGGUGGUGAAUGACGAU
rnacentral:rRNA from 1 species